CGCAUCCACUUUUAAACACGGCACUUGCAACUUAGCUCACAUCUAACCAGUUAGACAGCUCACUAAAAUGCUAAUUAGGCAAAAACAGGAGGUAAAGAAAUAGCCAAUCAUCUAUUGCCUGAGAGCACAGCAUGAGGGACAAGGAUCAGGAUAUAAACCCAGGCAUUCAAGCCUGCAACGGCAACCCCCUUUGGGUCUCCUCCCUUUGUAUGGGAGCUCUGUUUUCACUCUAUUUCACUCUAUUAAAUCUUGCAACUGCACUCUUCUGGUCCAUGUUUGUUACAGCUCGAGCUGAGCUUUCACUCACCGUCCACCACUGCUGUUUGCUGCCGUCGCAGACCUGCCGCUGACUCCCAUCCCUCCGGAUCCGGCAGGGUGUCCACUGUGCUUCUGAUCCAGCGAGGCGCCCAUUGCUGCUCCUGAUUGGGCUAAAGGCUUGCCGUUGUUCCUGCACGGCUAAGUGCCCGGGUUCGUCCUAAUCAAGCUAAACAGUAGUCACUGGGUUCCACGGUUCUCUUCCGUGACCCACGGCUUCUGACAGAGCUAUAACACUCACCACAUGGCCCAAGAUUCCAUUCCUUGGAAUCUGUGAGGCCAAGAACCCCAGGUUAGAGAACCUGAGGCUUGCCACCAUCUUAGAAGCGGCUUGCCACCAUCUUGGAAGUGGCUCGCCACCAUUUUGGCAACCAGGAAGGGACCUCCAAAGCGGGAGAAAGCAUUUAUGGUGAGGAGAAAAGCAGCUGGUAUCACACUCUACCCAAGUCCCAAAAGCAGGUUCACAUAACUCCUGUCUUCAUUAUCUGAUAUCCGUAUGAAGAAUGUAAGAUAGAAAAAAACAUUAGCAUUUGAGAGGAUUGAAAGAGAAGCAUUCUCAGCAGAGCCAAGAUUCACUUAGAACAAAAGGGAAACAAAAAGACUGGGCAUAUUUACAUGGCUUGAAAACAUUAGAAAACACAUGGAAAAUUUUUUUCUACUCUAAAUGGAAGUAUAAGUUUUCCCAGAUCUUCGCAGUCUAUGUGUUUUGAUAUGGUUGUGACAUGGUAACAAAACAAUUUUCACAUGGACUCACAUUGCUCCUGGAAUCAUUGCCCCUUGGUUUCUGACUAUGGAUGACUCAGUCAGUUUCCUGCCUCUUUCUGAAUAAUUUACAUUUCAGUAUCCCAGCUUUCCUUCCUGCAGAGUUGAUUCUAUUAGAACUUUUCCAGUCUAUCAGACACAUUUGUGGAUGUGUGAAACUCAGUAUGAAAAAAUUUCAAAUGCUUUCUGGAAGUUCCUCAAUCCCAUUUAUAUCGGAACAUUGUCAAAAUAAAUAUGUGUUAGAGUGACUUCAAAUAUUCAUUGGUAAUUAAUGAGGACUAUGGCUUCCAAGAGGACACAGAGAAUCUUUAAGAAGGUAUUUAAUGUGUAUAGGAAAUUGUACAAAGUGAUGGUGCAGAUGUUAUGUUUCAAAAACCACAUUCCCACGUGGGAGCUAUAAAAUCUGUACAAAAAGAAAAAAAAAAGCACAUACAUCUGUAAAAUCUGUUUCAACGCAUUGGAGAGUUAUGAAAGCUACAUGGCCUUGAAGGGGAAGGGAAGCACAUUCCCAGAGAGAAGAAAAGCCCAUGGAUGUCAAACCAGUGUUCUAGGUUCUCCACAUUACAGUAUUUGUCAAUCCCAAAGCUAUGGAGGAAAGGAUGGGAAGCUGAACAGAUAUACUGAAAAGUUUAUAGUGCUUGACAAAUAAAAACUGAAGGUAAGGAUCCACCAAGGAUGAUGGUCUCUGGUAAUUAACAUAUACUUUCAAUUGUGCAUGACGGUAUGAACCCUAGGGGCCAGCUGAACUGGGUAUAGAUCAAUAAAUACAAGAAGUAAAGGCAAGAUUAAAAUCUGGUGAUAUACCCUCCAACUAAAUGGUAGACUCAAACAAAACAACAAGUUGUGGAAUAAAAUAUUACUAUUUAGGGAAUAAAUCUAUAUUAAUAGUUUUUCAUACAAAAUAUCUGCCAUUUGGUUUUUAAAAUUAAAUAAAAGAAGAUAAGAAUUGAUCAAAAACAAUGCAAAAAUUUUGGCAAUAUAAACAUAUCUAUAGAGAAUUCAUAUAUUGAAAUUAUUUUUAUAGGCCUUUAAAUAACUAUAUGUGUGUGCAAGAAAGUAAUAUGAACAUGGUGAGUUUUGAAAGAGAAAUAAAAGCUUUAAAGAGAACAUAAUGGAAAUUAUCCAUUGAAAAAUAAAACAAGUGAGCUGGUUUCAACAUAUUUGACAGAAUUAAAAAGAGUUAUAAACUUGGCAAUAGAGUGAGUGAAAAUCUCCAGAUAAAGGAUAGAAAUAGAAGAAAAAAAUAUACAAGAUACACGGAAGAUAGUGAAGGGUUUAAAAUAUAAGUAAUUGAAAUUGCAAAAAGAAAAAAGAAUAAAUGGAGCUGAAGCACUAUAAGGAGAAAAUGGCAACGACUCUCAAAACUGGUGAAAAAUGUUAAGUCACAGUUUUCACAAGCAAUUACAAUACAAA
rnacentral:lncRNA from 10 species